rnacentral:rRNA from 1 species
UAGGAAUCUUCCACAAUGGACGCAAGUCUGAUGGAGCAACGCCGCGUGAGUGAAGAAGGUUUUCGGACCGUAAAGCUCUGUUGUUGGUGAAGAAGGAUAGAGGUAGUAACUGGCCUUUAUUUGACGGUAAUCAACCAGAAAGUCACGGCUAACUACGUGCCAGCAGCCGCGGUAAUACGUAGGUGGCAAGCGUUGUCCGGAUUUAUUGGGCGUAAAGCGAGCGCAGGCGGAAGAAUAAGUCUGAUGUGAAAGCCCUCGGCUUAACCGAGGAAUUGCAUCGGAAACUGUUUUCUUGAGUGCAGAAGAGGAGAGUAGAACUCCAUGUGUAGCGGUGGAAUGCGUAGAUAUAUGGAAGAAUACCAGUGGCGAAGGCGGCUCCCUGGUCUGCAAACUGACGCUGAGGCUCGA